AUUGAACGCUGGCGGCAGGCCUAACACAUGCAAGUCGAACGAGUGGCGGACGGGUGAGUAAUGUCUGGGAAACUGCCCGAUGGAGGGGGAUAACUACUGGAAACGGUAGCUAAUACCGCAUACCAUCGGAUGUGCCCAGAUGGGAUUAGCUUGUAGGUGAGGUAACGGCUCACCUAGGCGACGAUCCCUAGCUGGUCUGAGAGGAUGACCAGCCACACUGGAAUGGAGACACGGCCCUGUCUCCAACGUGGGGCAGCAGUGGGGAAUAUUGCAAAAUGGGCGAAAGCCUGAUGCAGCCAUGCCGCGUGUAUGAAGAAGGCCUUCGGGUUGUAAAGUACUUUCAGCGGGGAGGCGUUACCCGCAGAAGAAGCACCGGCUAACUCCGUGCCAGCAGCCGCGGUAAUAC
rnacentral:rRNA from 1 species